rnacentral:rRNA from 1 species
GUGUCAGCAGCCGCGGUAAUACAGAGGGUGCGAGCGUUAAUCGGAAUUACUGGGCGUAAAGCGUGCGCAGGCGGUUAUGUAAGACAGGUGUGAAAUCCCCGGGCUCAACCUGGGAAUGGCAUUUGGGACUGCAAGGCUGGAGUGUGGCAGAGGAGACUGGAAUUCCUGGUGUAGCAGUGAAAUGCGUAGAUAUCAGGAGGAAUACCGAUGGCGAAGGCAGGUCUCUGGGCUAACACUGACGCUCAUGCACGAAAGUGUGGGGAGCAAACAGGAUUAGAUACCCCGGUAGUCC